CUUGUCCUCAUUUGUUAAGUCGCUUUGGAUAAAAGCGUCUGCUAAAUGACUAAAC
rfam:Danio rerio chromosome 12, GRCz11 reference primary assembly.